UGGCUCAGCAGUUUAGAGCACUGGCUGCUCUUCCAGAGGACCUGGGUUCAAUUCCCAG
rnacentral:tRNA from 1 species